rnacentral:sRNA from 1 species
GCCGGGCAUGGUGGCACAUGCCUGUAAUCCCAGCUACUAGGGAGACUGAGGCAGGAGGAACACAAGUUUGAGGCCAGCCUCAC